rnacentral:rRNA from 1 species
AGAACGAACGCUGGCGGCACGCCUAACACAUGCAAGUCGAACGAAUAAGAGCCUAGUUUACUAGGAAUUCUGUUAGUGGCAGACGGGUGAGUAACGCGUGGGAAUCUACCUAGUAGUAUGGAAUAACAGUUGGAAACAACUGCUAAUACCGUAUAUUCUCCGAGGAGGAAAGAUUUAUCGCUACUAGAUGAGCCCGCGUUAGAUUAGGUAGUUGGUAGGGUAAUGGCCUACCAAGCCUACGAUCUAUAGCUGGUCUGAGAGGACAAUCAGCCACACUGGGACUGAGACACGGCCCAGACUCCUACGGGAGGCAGCAGUGGGGAAUAUUGGACAAUGGGCGAAAGCCUGAUCCAGCGAUGCCGCGUGAGUGAAGAAGGCCUUAGGGUUGUAAAGCUCUUUCAGCAGGGAAGAUAAUGACGGUACCUGCAGAAGAAGCCCCGGCUAACUCCGUGCCAGCAGCCGCGGUAA